CAGCCGUAAACAAUGUGCGUUAGGUGUGUCGGUAACCACGUGUUACUGAUGCGCCGAAGAGAAAUCGUGAAACGCACCACCUGGGAAGUACAGUCGCAAGGCUGAAACUUAAAGGAAUUGGCGGGGGAGCACCACAACAGGUGGAGCCUGCGGUUUAAUUGGAUUCAACGCCGGACAUCUCACCGGAUAAGACAGCUGAAUGAUUGUCAAUCUGAAGGUUUUACAUGACUAGCUGAGAGGUGGUGCAUGGCGUCAGUGACU
rnacentral:rRNA from 1 species